ensembl:antisense Gm38225 predicted gene, 38225
UCCCGGUCGAUCCGAGAAUUCACAAACAAAAUGCCAUUCUGCAGAUUUACCUCCAGAAGGUCUCCGCGGUCCUUGGACGCCACNCUGAACAGGCGGGGCACCAGCUCCGUCAGCUCGAGCCCCAGGUCCUGCGCGAUGCGGCCCACGAAGGUGCCGUGUUUGGCCUCCUCUGGGAUGGAGUAGUGGAUCUGGCUGUUCCCUGCCUCCCAGAUUGCAAGAAGCAGAAAAGAAAGAAGCAAGCGCUGGGAUUCCUGGCCACUUCCCCAGGAAAAUUCCAUUUCAAGUGCACAGUGCUUUGUUCUGAUUAGGGAUUCUCUCAGAGCUAGGAGAAUUCUUCUAAUCCGUUAGUCCAUCGCCACUGCAUCCGCCAUUGUUCCGAUUCGGACUGGUAAA